UUUCCUCAAGCAGUUCAAUAUGCUAGCAGCUGUAUGAUCUUUAGCAUGUUAUCAUGUUGAAUACAUAUCCUCUUCGUGCAUUUCAGCAAACAGAUGUGAGACAGGUCCUGCUUGGAGGAGUGUACUGCAUUUACAGCUCGCCGAGUGAACAGUGCCAAAAUCUGCAUUCAGCAUGAGGUUCUCGACGAAGGGGGAUGCUGGGGGGCUGCGGUCGGCUGAUGUUGACAUGUGGCGCUCCAGUGUAGAGCGCGACCAUCUGCCAAAGCCUGUUGGAGCUAGAGCACUCGUGUUGAAGCUCUUAUUCACUCCCACGUGUCUUGCUCAACAGCGACCUUAAGCCGGCUGGGAUGAGUCGCUCUGGAAGGAAUGCAGAUUCAUCAUUCCCAGACAACCAUCUCUGCAGUCAACCGUGAAAGUUUUGUCGUAUGAAUUCAGGUCGAUCUUGUUUUGUGCACCUUACGGCUUUGACAGUUGCUCGCCCAGAGGGAGGGAAAGACCUGCUUUCAUCCUUGGAUAUUCACCUGACCCUUUUCGUAAUGUAAUAAAGC